rnacentral:rRNA from 1 species
UACGGGGGGUGCGAGCGUUGUCCGGAAUCACUGGGCGUAAAGGGCGCGUAGGUGGUUUGAUAAGGGUGUGGUGAAAGCCCGGGGCUCAACCCCGGGUCUGCCGUGCCGACUGUCAAACUCGAGGGCUGUAGAGGCAGACGGAAUUCCGGGUGUAGCGGUGGAAUGCGUAGAGAUCCGGAGGAAGACCGGUGGCGAAGGCGGUCUGCUGGGCAGUUUCUGACACUGAUGCGCGACAGCGGUGG